rnacentral:snRNA from 14 species
AAACUUACCUGGCUGGGGGCGUCUCGCGAUCAUCAAGGCGGAACCCCCAUAGUGAGCCCCGCGCAUUGCACUUUCGCCCUCGCAGACCCCUGUG